GGAGCACAACGUCGAAAGCAGCCGUUGGGAGCCCAGGAGGCGGGGCGCCUGUGGGAGCCGUGGAGGGAACUUUCCCAGUCCCCGAGGCGGAUCCGGUGUUGCAUCCUUGGAGCGAGCUGAGAGCUCGAGGUGAGCUGGGCUCGCGGUCGCCCCUCUCGCGCGCCCUCUUUAAGAACCACGGCGUCCAACCUCCCUGGAAAUGGGGGGAACAUGGCCGAGGCGCGUGGCGAGGCCGCCUCGUGGAGGCCCCGGAGCGGCAUCCUCAGCGCCCCAGCGAUCCGGUGCCCAUUAGUACAGAACCUGCUAAGGCCAUCAAACCUAUUGAUCGGAAGUCAGUCCAUCAGAUUUGCUCUGGGCCGGUGGUACCGAGUCUAAGCACUGCGGUGAAGGAGUUAGUAGAAAACAGUCUGGAUGCUGGUGCCACUAAUAUUGAUCUAAAGCUUAAGGACUAUGGAGUGGAUCUCAUUGAAGUUUCAGGCAAUGGAUGUGGGGUAGAAGAAGAAAACUUCGAAGGCUUAACUCUGAAACAUCACACAUCUAAGAUUCAAGAGUUUGCCGACCUACCUCAGGUUGAAACUUUUGGCUUUCGGGGGGAAGCUCUGAGCUCACUUUGUGCACUGAGUGAUGUCACCAUUUCUACCUGCCAUGUAUCGGCGAAGGUUGGGACUCGACUGGUGUUUGAUCACUAUGGGAAAAUCAUCCAGAAAACCCCCUACCCCCACCCCAGAGGGAUGACAGUCAGUGUGAAGCAGUUAUUUUCUACGCUACCUGUGCACCAUAAAGAAUUUCAAAGGAAUAUUAAGAAGAAACGUGCCUGCUUCCCCUUCGCCUUCUGCCGUGAUUGUCAGUUUCCUGAGGCCUCCCCAGCCAUGCUUCCUGUACAGCCUGCAGAACUGACUCCUAGAAGUACCCCACCCCACCCCUGCUCCUUGGAGGACAACGUGAUCACUGUAUUCAGCUCUGUCAAGAAUGGUCCAGGUUCUUCUAGAUGAUCUGCACAAAUGGCUCCUCUCCUCCUUCCUGAUGUCUGCCAUUAGCACUGGAAUAAAGUUCCUGCUGAAAAUCCACAUC
rnacentral:lncRNA from 1 species